rnacentral:misc_RNA from 1 species
UUUCCGUAGGUGAACCUGCGGAAGGAUCAUUACCGAGUUAGGGUGCUUCUCAGCGCCCGACCUCCCAACCCUUUGUGAACCAAACUUGUUGCUUCGGGGGCGACCCUGCCGACGACUUCGUCGCCGGGCGCCCCCGGAGGUCUUCUAAACACUGCAUCUUUGCGUCGGAGUUUAAAACAAAUUAAACAAAACUUUCAACAACGGAUCUCUUGGUUCUGGCAUCGAUGAAGAACGCAGC